AGUGGCGGACGGGUGAGUAACGCGUGGGUAACCUGCCUCAUACAGGGGGAUAACAGUUAGAAAUGACUGCUAAUACCGCAUAAGCCACAGCACCGCAUGGUGCAGGGGUAAAAACUCCGGUGGUAUGAGAUGGACCCGCGUCUGAUUAGGUAGUUGGUGGGGUAACGGCCUACCAAGCCGACGAUCAGUAGCCGACCUGAGAGGGUGACCGGCCACAUUGGGACUGAGACACGGCCCAA
rnacentral:rRNA from 1 species